UGCCAGCAGCCGCGGUAAUACGGAGGGGGUUAGCGUUGUUCGGAAUUACUGGGCGUAAAGCGCACGUAGGCGGAGUAGAAAGUUAGAGGUGAAAUCCCGGGGCUCAACCCCGGAACUGCCUUUAAACCUACUAGUCUAGAGUUCGAGAGAGGUGAGUGGAAUUCCGAGUGUAGAGGUGAAAGUCGUAGAUAUUCGGAGGAACAACAGUGGCGAAGGCGGCUCACUGUCUCGAUACUGACGCUGAGGUGCGAAAGUGUGGGGAGAAAACAGGAUUAGAUC
rnacentral:rRNA from 1 species